CCUACGGGCGGCAGCAGUGAGGAAUAUUGGUCAAUGGACGAAAGUCUGAACCAGCCAAGUAGCGUGAAGGAUGACUGCCCUAUGGGUUGUAAACUUCUUUUAUAUGGGAAUAAAACAGGGUAUGCAUACCCUCUUGUGUGUACCAUAUGAGUAAGGAUCGGCUAACUCCGUGCCAGCGGCCGCGGUAAUACGGAGGAUCCGAGCGUUAUCCGGAUUUAUUGGGUUUAAAGGGAGCGUAGGUGGAUUGUUAAGUCAGUUGUGAAAGUUUGCGGCUCAAACGUAAAAGUGCAGUUGAAACUGGGAGGCUUGAGUAUAGGAGAGGUGCGUGGAAUUCGUGGUGUAGCGGUGAAAUGCUUAGAUAUCACGAAGAACUCCGAUCGCGAAGGCAGUGUACUGGACUGAAACUGACACUGAUGCUCGAAAGUGCGGGUAUCAAACAGGAUUAGAUACCCGAGUAGUC
rnacentral:rRNA from 1 species